rnacentral:rRNA from 1 species
GAUGAACGCUGGCGGCGUGCCUAAUACAUGCAAGUAGAACGCUGAAGGAGGAGCUUGCUCUUCUGGAUGAGUUGCGAACGGGUGUGUAACGCGUAGGUAACCUGCCUGGUAGCGUGGGAUAACUUUUGGAAACGAUAGCUAAUACCGCAUGACAACAGUUAUUGCAUGAUAACUGUUUAAAAGGGGCAACUGCUCCACUACCAGUUGGACCUGCGUUGUAUUAGCUAGUUGGUGAGGUAACGGCUCACCAAGGCGACGAUACAUAGCCGACCUGAGAGGGUGAGUGGCAGCACUGGGAGCGAGAAAGGACCCAAACUCCUUCGGCGGGGAGCAGGAAGGAAUCACCGGCGAUAGACGGAAGACUGACCGAGCAACGCCGAGAGAGUGAAGAAGGUUUUCAGAUCGUAAAGCUCGGUUGUCACGGAAGGACGAGUGUGCGAGUGGAGAGUGGACAGUGUGACGGUCUCUUAAGAGAGAGGGACGGCUAACUAAGUG